UAGCAUAAAUUGUGACUAGGUGUGAAA
rnacentral:piRNA from 1 species